AGUAUAUAUAGAGGAGAAACUGAGGUACUAAACUCUGAAACAGUAAUUUAGUUCCACCAACACCUUCCAGAGACCGCUCGCAUCGCUGAUUUUCUGUUUACCUCGAGAAUUAUUUACUUAACCUCAAAAAUUUUCAGUUGAUCUGUCGAACCUUAUUUUUGGUAAGAGAUUUAUUAUGUCGCAGUCAACUUUGAAAUCCAACAAAUAUUGUGUUCCUAACUGUGGAGAUAUGUAUAGUAAACGUCAUCGUUUUCGAAUGAAGAGAAGCAGCCAACAAUUUUCAAACUUUGGCUCGAAAAAGUUAGUUAUUCAUUGCUCAACUCUAAAACUCCUCAACAAAUUUGUAAGAAGUGAAAUUAGAUAGCCUUAAAGGAAUUUGACAACUGCUAUCCCUGAAUUAUUUCUUCCUGGAUCUUCAAAUCAAGGGGAAGAUGGAGAAGUUCAUGACACUGAAGGAAUACAUCUCCAAAGUGAUGUUGAGAGGGAAGUAUCAACAGAGACUUUGAAGAAUUUUAAGCACCCUCAGAAAACUUCAAUAAUAUAUAGAAAAAGAUAUCGAGGACAACAAUUAAUUGACACUAGAGGCUGUGGGCACUGCAGAGCUGAUCAUUUUUAUGGAUAAGCUGUUUGAUAGCCUGAAUAUGCAAUUGUGAAGGACACAUUAAAAAUUUGGCAUACUAGAAAUAUUUAAAAAAAUGUAAAAUUUUAAAUAGAUGAUUUUUUUAUAUGAA